rnacentral:rRNA from 1 species
ACGCUCGACACCUACGGGGGCAGCAGUGGGGAAUAUUGCACAAUGGGGGAAACCCUGAUGCAGCGACGCCGCGUGAGUGAAGAAGUAUUUCGGUAUGUAAAGCUCUAUCAGCAGGGAAGAAAAUGACGGUACCUGAGUAAGAAGCCCCGGCUAACUACGUGGCAGCAGCCGCGGUAAUCUGAGCGGGCUGGCAAGGC